rnacentral:misc_RNA from 1 species
AUAAUCACUGAAAAAGAAACCACUAAUGGUGAAAUUUUUAUUGUGAAGGAUACACAACUGACAUUUAAAGCUUUGUACUCCCAGAUCACCAAGUAUCCCUAAGAUUCAAGGGCAUGAACAUGGUUUCUGUUCUUCGUCUUUCUUGGGCAGAUGAUCUCUUCAUUUACACAUGGAAAGGAAUAAUGUCAAGUUUUCAUAGAUUAGAGGAAGUUAAAAUCUGAUACUGCUCAUUCACUCUUCUAUAUUCACUAAUUACAGUUUUGACAACCUGCAUGUGAGAUGGGAAGCAUGCAAUUGCAUGGAUUGUAACGAAGGAAAUUAAAUUAUUAUGUGCACAUUGCAUGUCAUUUCAUAUGGAAGCAUCAAUUUCUCGUUCCUAGAAGUCAUUCGCAUUAGUAAGUUUCCCUCUACUUUCAAGGGAAUAAAACUAAUGACACAAGUUAGCACCACGUUGUUCUUGUAACUUGUAGUCCACUCUCAUUGGUAUCAACACAUCUUAAAA